AAUAUUACUUGAGAAGGGAGAUACCAUGAUCAUCGUGGUGGAUUUCCGAGGGUGAGUCUUGUCUAUUUCAUUUUAGAUGUGCUGACCCUUGGGAUUCCCUCAAAUAUGAGAAACUUGGCUGCAUAACUUGGGGUAACAAGGGACUGCGUUCAUGUACUACA
ensembl:snRNA U1 U1 spliceosomal RNA